GCCUAAUACAUGCAAGUCGAGCGCGCCCUUCGGGGUGAGCGGCGCACGGGUGAGUAACGCGUACAUGACCUACCCACAAGAACGGGAUAGCCCUGGGAAACUGGGAUUAAUACCGUAUGUGAUUAAAAGUGUUAGAGGUUUUUAAUUAAAGCUCCGGUGCUUGUGGAUGGAUGUGCGUCUGAUUAGCUAGUUGGUAAGGUAACGGCUUACCAAGGCGACGAUCAGUAGGGGGCGUGAGAGCGUGAUC
rnacentral:rRNA from 1 species